ensembl:lncRNA
UUGCUGGAGAUCUCUGUCUACCUGAGGCCUUCUAAAGGUAAGCAGCUCUUCUUCAUUUCUGCAUCUGUGCUGCUGCAUUUGGGCUUGAUCUUAUUUGCUGUAGCUGAAGGUUUUGCCACCCUACUAUUAUCAUCCCGUUAUAGCAUUAAACUGGUGAAACAUGCUGAAGGGUAAUCCUGAAUUCAAAGGGACCUCUGCACACAUUCUUUCCCCUGUAAACGAGCUCUAAACCCAAGUAUGGGUUCAGUGUGACCAUCUGGUCUGUUUGAGAGAGCCCAGCACCAUUUGCAUCUCAGCAUUAAGGCAAACAAGCCCCUGGAUCACACCAAGCACAGCUCAUUAGAGCACACACAGUUGCAUGAGGUGACUUAUGGCACUUCUGUGGCAGAGGUGGUGAUAGGAAAAUGGCACUCUGGGCAGCAUUAAUCAGCCUUACCCAUGAGCUCACCCCGUCUGACUCACCUGCUUUGCACUUCCCAGUUUCCCCAGCAGGUGCAGGAGAUGUUUCCAGUCCUUUUCCUCCCGCAGCCUCAAUUGGCUCCUUGAGCAUUCUCCAUCUGAUCUGAGCAAAGGAGGUCCCAUGCAGAGCACUGGCUGUGAGCACACAUCACAGCCCUCAAUAACCUGUGUCCAUAAGCAAACCACAGAAAGGCUACAUGGGCAAUGUUAAUUCUCCCACUUGAUUUCCAAGUGCUUUCCUUUCCAACCCUCUAUUCUUCUACAUGUUUUAGUGUAAUAUCAUCUUUAGGUGCAAUUUCUCACAUUCACAUACUGAGCAGUCACUGCCACAUAAACAGCCUGAAAACUGAAAUAAAUUGUGCUUAAUCAAAAAAUGAGAUCUGCCCUGCUAGGGAUAUGCGAGUCCGCUGCUUCAUCUAUUCUUUUUCUUGCCUGGAGGAUUUACUGCAUCUCCAGACUCCUGCUGCUGCUUCAAGAAGUGCCAUGAAGAAAGACAACAGCACGUAUCCAGGUGUAAUAUUCUGUACCGUGGGCAGAUGGUUACAAUUAUACUUCUAAAUAUCCUUUUGUCUUUACACUGACUCAAAAUUAAAUAUUAUUUUUUUAUAUGAUAAAAGUC